AUAUCUAUAUUUUAAAUGUUAUAAUUUAUUUAUAAUUAUAUCAUAACUUAUUUAUAAGGUACGAUUGAUUAUAUUUAAUAUUUAUAUUAUUUUACAUUUAUAAUUUAUUUUACUUAUUUCUAAUAUUUUAAUUCAUUAUAAGUGUUUAGAAUUUGUUUUAUAAUAUUUAUAAAUUCCCCUCCCAAUGUUUAUAUACUUACCACUAUUCACACCCCUCCCUUUUGAAAUAACUACAAAAAGCCUCCUACUUGUCUUCCCCACUUUGAAGCAAAAACAAUGACUGCCAGAAAAGUUCCAUGUAGGAAGUUAAAAAAACAUCAAUCAGUUUCACAGACAGCAACUGAAAGAUCUAAAAAAGCCCUUACUUAAAGGCAUAUGCUUUCCUUUCAGCACAACUCAGCUCUUCCACUGGGGAACUUCAUAAAAUACUACACACAUCAAGAAAAAAGUAUACCUCUUGGCAGUAAAACUUUGUCAACUGCUUCAAAACAAUCCUGUUGAAAUGAUGUGGGGCUACUUUGGGCAUUUUUCUGAAGCUCCAAUAUCCUGGCGACUCAUUAUUAGCAUGACACUAAGCUAGAAGUGGGGGCUAAAGAAGCUGAGAUUUUUUUUUUGAAAUAAAUAAAUGUUCAAAUCUCUCACUGAAAACCUGGAACAUGAUUUUGGGAAAGCAGAUGUGUCAGUGUAUGAGACUUUACAAUAAUUAAACCCCUUGACUGAAAAUUAGAAAUGGAAAAUAGCCGGGUGCAGUGGCUCACACCUGUAAUCCCAGCACUUUGGGAGGCAGAGGUGGGCGUAUCACCUCAAAGUCAGGAGUUCGAGACCAGUCUGGCUAACAUGGUGAACCCCCAUCUCUACUGAAAAUGCAAAAAUUAGCCUGUGUGGUGGCAGGCACCUGUAAUCCCAGCUGCUCCAGAAGCUGAGGCAAGAGAAUCACUUGAACUUGGGAAGCGGAGCUUGCAGUGAGCAGAGAUUGCGUCAGUGCACUCCAGCCUGGACAGUAGAGCAAGACUCCAUCUCAAAAAAAAGAAUGGAAAAUAUAAACAAAGAUAAACAAAGUUAAACAGCCCAAAUAUCAUUAUGUUCAUAACCAAGAAUGUAAUGCAGCCACUAAGCCAUCCAUAAAAACUGAAAUUAUGUGAAAAAAAUGUUCAAAGUGUAAUCAGAAAAAGCAGUUACCAAAAUCUAGUAUAAUCUUCAUGUUCCCUCACUACUGGAUCAUUCCUGUGAGUAAACACACCUGCUUUAUUAUUUCCCAACUUGAAAGAAAAAUUCCUUAACCCAAACAUCCUCCUCCUGGAUUAUUUCUCUGCUCCAGUUUCUCCCAUUUACUGUAACUUUUCUUGAAACAGUUGUCCAUACUCGGUUUGUUUCCUGAACUAAUUACUUUUCUUUUUCUUUUAUUAGAGACAGUGCCUCAAUCUGUUGCCCAGGCUGGCAUGCAGUGGCAUGAUUAUGGCUCACUGCAGCCUAGAACUCUCAGGCUCAAGCAAUCCUCCCAUCUCCCAAGUAGCUUGAAGUAUAGGUGUGUGCCACCAUGCCUAGCUGUACUUUUUACUUUUUCUAGAGAUGAGAUCUCACUAUGUUGCCCAGGCUGGUCUCAGACUCCUGGCCUCAAGCUAUCCUCCUGUCUCAGCCUCCCAAAGUGCUGGGAUUACCCAUGUGAGCCACUGCACCCAGUCCUCCUGCACAGACUUCAAUUAAGGUUUUGCCCUCAUGAUUCCACCAAAAUCCGUGAUUCCUAAGUAGUCAAAUCCACUGAUCAAUUCUCAAACCUCAUAUGAUGCACCUCACCAGCUGUAUUUGAUACAAGUGAUCUCCUCCUUGGCUGUUUUCUUCUGGACUUCUAGAGCACACCUUUGUGUCAGUUCUCUGAACUGGUCAAGCCUCCUUACUCCCCUUUGGUGCUUGCUCUUCAACUUCCUGCCAUCUAGACACUGGGAGUACCCCAGGACUUGGACUGCAGACAUUUUUCUUUCUAACAUAUUCUGCAUCAUCUAACGGCACCUAGUCUCAUGACUUUAAAUGCCAUCUGUGUGGCUACGACAUUAGUCUACUCUCUCCCCAACCUACGUGACGUCUCCAUUUGUAACCUCCAUUUUCCUCAAUUAAAACUGAUUCUCUUACAGUCUUCCCUCUCUCAAUAAAUGGUUUUCAAGUACUUAGGCCAAAAAUUUUGGAUUCAUUCUUGUCUCUCUGGUUUUUAAAAUCCACUUCCAUUUCAUCAGCAGAUGCUUUGGAUUUUACCUUCAAAAUGCCCCAGAUCUUCCCACCCUUCUCACCUUUAUUUCUAUUCCUCAGGUUCUAGGUCAUCUUCUCACAUCUGGCUUCUGGCAUCCCCACGCUGUCUUUUCGCCACUGUAACCAUGGUCAGCUUUGUAAAAGUGGGGGAAAGAAAAUCAAUUCAGAGUGACUGGAAGACAUUCAGCUUUAUCUAAGAGUGAUCGAUGGCAAAAAUUAUCAUCUUUGUUUUUCUCUUGUUCCAAGAAGCUGAGCUUCAGAAAAAAAGCAGAUGGUGAGGAAAAUAUAAGGUAAUAGCACCUCAGGGGCAAGGGUUCGGAAGGGCUUUGUGGCUCAUUCAAGAGUAACAUUCAGGAUGCGACUGGGGAAAUAAUGCGUAUGUGAGCAGAAAGAUAGAUUUACAAAGAAGCUGAAGCAAAUAGGCAUUUGACGAUUCUUUAUGUAAUAUGCAUAUUCAAAAACUAAGGUUUAGCCAUGAGUCUUCCAUUAAAAUAAUCACUUGUGUGCUACAUGAUUGUUCAUUGGCCCAGUAGCUGCCUUGUAAUUAGGAGAUAGGUGUUCUGAUUAUACUUUUUAUUUUACCAAAGGUAAAGAACAGAAUAUCUUGGAAGACAAGUUAGAAACAUGAUGUAUUUUACAUUUCUCAUGAUUUCCUCUUAUACAUGCAAAAAUGUAUACUUUGUUAUUGCUGAUGAAUCUUUUUAAUUCUAUUUCAUAUGAUGAAAAAAAUAUUCAUUUAAGUAUUUGCAAUGGAUUGAAUGUUUGUCUCCCUCUAAAAUGCAUAUGUUGACGUCGUUUUUUGUUUGUUUUUGUUUUUUUGAGAUGGAGUGUCCCUCUGUUGUCCAGGCUAGAGUGCAGUGGUGCAAUCCUGGCUCACUGCAACCUCCGGCUCCCGCGUUCAGGUGCUUCUUCCUGCCUUAGCCUCCCAAGUAGCUGGAACUACAGGUGCACGCCACCAUGCCGCGCUAACUUUUGUAUUUUUAGUAGAGACAGGGUUUCUUCAUGUUGGUCAGGCUGGCCUCAAGUAAGCCACCCAUCUCUACGUCCCAAAGUGCUGGGAUCACAGGUGUGAGCCACCGUGCCUGGCCAUAUGUUAAUGAACUCUCAACCCCUAAUGUGAUGUAGUAUUAGGAAGUGGGGCCUUUGAGAGGAAAUUAGAUAAUAGUAGAGGCCUCACGAAUGGGAUUAGUACUCUUAUAAAAGAAACCCCAGAGAGCUUUCUCACCUUCUUUCCCUCAUAUGAGGGCACAAUGAAAAGAAAGUAGCCUGCAACUCAGAAGAGGACCUUACAAAGAACCUAACCUGCUGGCACCCUGAUCAUGAAUUUCUAGCCUUCAGGACGAUGGAAAAUACGUUUCUGUUGUUUGUAAGCUACACAACCCAUGGUACACUGUUAUAACGGCUUGAAUUGACUAAGACAGUAUUGAAAUAAAGGUUGUCAAUCUAAAGGGAAAAAAUAACAAUCUUAGCCAAGUUAAACCAAGGGUUUCUUAUUGAGAAAUUAGGUGUCAACCCUCAUGUGCCAGUCUCUUGUGACAUGUGCUUGACUUAAACCUCUCGCUAGUGACAAAGAGUGGCUCCCUCUACCACUACUGCAAGCCAGGCAACAUUAGGGAAUUUUUGUUGCUGCAAUGUGGAGUCACAGCACCUUGUUAGGCAUUCAGCAAUAAAAAUGUAUUUCCUUGUGCAUGUUACCAAGUCAGACCCUGGAAAUUAUAUCAACCAAAUUAUGGGGGUUGAGUGUAAUUCACCUUUAGACAAUGUUGAAAGAAAAACUUUAGACAAAUUUAAUCUAACAAUUUAUUAAUAUUUCAGCAAAAAACCAUUCAUGUAUCAGGCAGCACUCAGAACUGGAGAGAUUGAGAGCACGCCACUCUGCCACACAGGCAGUAAUUACAGAUAGAAAACAGAAGUAAAGUAUGGAAUUAGCUUGACUGGGUACAGGUAGGUAUUUGUUGUAUUUGGACGUGGUCUGAUCAGUUGGCAGCCUUUGACUGACUGACAUGCAGCUGCUAGCUAAUAGCUGAGACCCAAAAAAUACUCUUCAAUUAGGUUUUGGUUAAUUUACAUUUAUACACAGAGAGCAGAAUAUCUUGGGGGACAAGUUAGAAACAUGAUGCAUUUUACAUUUCAUGUAAGGUUGCAGUUCCUUGCAUAGAAACUCAAAGUACUGAAAUCGCUUCAGGCCAUGGCCUCGUGUGUAUUUAAUUUAACAGCAGAUAGGCUUUGGUACUUCAGAGUCCCAUGAACAGGCAUAGGUGCAAUGAACAAGGCAUGGUUUGCUCUUGGGUACAGUGAGAGAACAACUUUCUUGAGAUGUGCUUUGUGUGUGUGCAUUAGCGUGUGUGGUGCUGUCUCAUCCAAUCACUAACUCUCCACGGAAGGGUCACAGGUUGUUCAAUUAAGGAGAUUAUAGCUAAGUAUGAACUGUUGGUGGCCACAAGUCCAUGUGCUUGCUCUUGGGGAAGGGGAAAAGAUACCAAGAAUGACUCUGUUGAAGGUUGUGAAAGGAAAUCCAGUCUUUUCAGACAGAAAUGAGUACUCGACAAGGAAAAGGGAAAUCAAAUCAAGGUGAAAGAACAUGAUAACUUCAAGAAAGAGAAGGCUCUUUGUUAAGUUACACCUUCAGGGCAAUGUAUCAUCAGGCAUGAGGCUCUGUCUUCAGAGGUGAUUAGAACUUCCAAGGGGAAAAUAAGAAUAUUUAAAAGAAGUGGUACGGAGGGCUUCUGUUACAGAUGAUGGAGGAGGAACAAAUGUGUCAAGGCCGCUGGUGAUUCAUGAUGGAUGGUUUCAGACAGUCUGCACUGGCCGGAUAAGGGCCACAGGAGAACACUGGGCUCAACUUCCUCCCUUAAUACAUGAAUAACACAAGGCCUGAAGGAGUCAUAUAAGGUAAGUGGGACCAAAGUCUUAAUGGGUGCUAACUCUUCUUAAUAACACUGCUUUGGUUUCACCAUGGCACUCAGGAGGGAGCUAUUUUAAAGGAGUAUCUAGCUUUGGGAAGGAAUACCACAUUCUAUCUGCAAAAUAUUCCUAUAGCAUGUAAGAAUCACAGAUCAUUUGCUGAGCCCUUAUGACUACCAGGCACAGUUAUGUGAACAUUUAUACAUAUUCUUUAAUUUUAUUUUUACAACAAACUUAUGAGGGAUUACUGUUAUUUUAUACUAUACGCCAUAAUGCUUUAUAGCAUAUUUUCCUACUAUUAUUAUCUCCCGGUUACAAAUGUGGAAACCGGGGCACAGACCAGGAGCUAGGCAUAGAAGGAAUUCAUUUUGUGCAUCAUCUUCGAGUAUAAGAGAAGGUUAAAGUAUUUUUGCAACAAACAGAAAUUAACAUUUUAAAGUGUUUGAUCACCCCAUGGGAAUCACAUUUAUGAGGAAUCAUAGUGAUAAAUUACCAUGAACCUCUCCAGGACCCUCUAACACUCUGCCUACCUCUAUUAUGGUACUUACCUGCCACACUGCAAUUUUCUCCUUUCUCAUCUCUUCCUUUGUGAGACUAGACGAUUUGAGGACAUGGAAUCCAUUUUCAUUUCUAUAUCCAGCACGGGCCACAGUGCCUGGAACAUUGUAGGUGUGCAGAAUGUGUUUGCUCAGUGGUUUCAUUUACUCCACUCUGUGAUCAUUCCAGGAUAACACUGUUUAUUUUUCCCAGCCUUAUCCUUACUCCCACAUGCAGGAUGGAUGGGGAAGCUGAUUGCUCUAUGUAGAAUGAUUUGACCAAAGUGACGUCUUGUGUUCUAGAAGAAUAUCCUAUGUGUCCCAGGAAAUCAAGUUAGCCAGAUUUCAAAAAAGAAAGCCAAGUUCCAAAGGUGGAGAUGUUGUUAGAGACAAGAGUUUAGAACUUGACUACCUCUAGCACAUUCUGCAGGGCUCAUUUCAUGGUGCAUUUCCUCUGAGACCCUAUCCUUACUCACAUGGAUUAGAUUCAGAGGCCUUCCUCCAAGUUCUCACAAGACUGUUUUUUCUUCGCUUAGCAUUGUAUGGUAAUUGUCUGUUAAUUUGUUUUUCUGUCCUCAUCUGCCAUUAGACUUGGGUUCCUUGAAUGAGAGAACUAUAUGUCAGUCAUAUCUCAGGGAUCUAGCACAAUGUUGGCACAUAAUAUAUGCUCAAGAAAUACUUGUUAUAUCAGGGAAUGAAUGAACCAAGAGAAAAGAGACUCAGUGAAAGCAGGCUGAGAUCAAAUGGGAUUAGAGACAGAACACAGUGCGUCAAAAACGCUGUCUUGAACACAAGCUGAUAUUUGUGAUUUCCUUUCCAGGGGACAUUGUAUAUCAGCCUAGCUUAACAACCAGAGGGGAGGCCGGGCAUGGUGGCUCAAGCCUGUAAUCCUAACACUUUAUAAGGCCAAGGCAGGCAGAUCACCUGAGGGCAGGAGUUCGAGACCAGCCUGGCCAAUAUGAUGAAACCUCGUAUCUAUGAAAAAUACAAAAAUUAGCCAGGUAUGGUGGCAGGAGCCUAUAGUCCCAGCUACUUGGAAGGCUAAGGCAGGAAAAUCACUUGAACCCAGGAGGUGGAUGUUGCUGUGAGUUGAGAUUGCACCACUGCAUUUCAGCAUGAGUGACAGAGUGAGACUCUGUCUCAAAAAAAAAAAAAAUUAAAAUUAAAAUAGAAAAAUAAAAUAACCAGAGGAGAGAUGGGCAACUCAUCCCAGGUUUGGGACCUCACCAGUUCUCCCAGUGAAAUUCCUUAAUGUGCUCUCAUGGUUUCCAAAUUUAUUUCAGUCCAAAAUUAUCACAAUGCAGCUCAAUCUGUAAAAUGGAUGAAAGCAGAGUUUUUCUAGUUGAAGUGGGUCAGAGGACUCAGACUCCACCCGUUGGCCCUUUUCUGCUAUCAGCCCACUUCUUCCCCCCACCCCUUCCAAUUCAGCAGCACCCAAAAGUGCUUCAUAGAAGCCUAGUUUUCAAACCAAUCUUGUAAAGCUUAAGACAUGAUAGAAGGAGCCACGACUGCUCUUCUGGUCUGUUUUCUCUAGCGGCAGUGGGCAUUGGAGCUGAUGGUCGGCAUGCAGCACAGAGCAGGUGGUCUCAUGACUUCCUUGGCCAGUUUACAUAAGAUUGUUGCAUGUCAUCUCCAUUGUUGCUUCAUUCUGUGUCUUCUCAGCUCUGCUUUCUAUUCAGCCAUUUGCUGUGGCUGAUAGCUUCAUGCAAGUGUAGCCAGGCAAGACCUCCCCAGCUGCACUGCCCAUCUCUUGCUUUCUGUCUCUGGGCUUCUCUCCAGCCCCAGCCUAUGAAAGUCCACUCAGCCAUCACGUGCUCAAACCUGGAAUCAAAUCAGGGAAAUCCUUGACCCAUGGAGAAUAGGAGUUAUAGGUAAAUACUGCUGUCUUCUGUAAUUUGGGUGAACAACUGAGGCACAUUCAGUGAAGUCCAUGUGGCUCAUGCCUAUAAUCCCAGCACUUUGGGAGGGUCCAGUGGCUCAUGCCUAUAAUCCCAGCACUCUGGGAAGCCAAAGCAAGCAGAUCAUCUGAGGUCAAGAGUUCGAGACCCACCCAGCCAACAUGGUGAAACCCUGUCUCUACUAAAAAUACAAAGAUGAUCUGAGCUUAUUGGCAUGCACUUGUAAUCCCAGCUACUUGGGAAGCUGAGGUAGGAGAAUUGCUUGAACCUGGGAGACGGAGGUUGCAGUGAGCUGAUAUUGUGCCACUGCACUCCAGCCUGCCUGGGUGACAGAGCAAGAGUCCCUCUCAAAAAGAGAAGAUCUCUUAAAGAUUGUGUCCGAGUCACCCAUAGCAGUAAUGACCACUGGAACAGGCUUUCCUCCUUCACUGUUGUAUUCUUCCCAAUUGUUCAAUCCUGUUUCUCAGGAUCUACCUAAUACAAACUACCUACACUUAUGCUAUUGUCUCGGGUUGACUGGGGUGGGAGUGUGGGGGGUCAACCAAGUUAAGACAUUCCCUUAGACUCUUUAUCUUUCUGCUUAGUACUUAUCAUCCCUGAUGUGUUUUAUAUUAAUUUAUGUUUAUUUUUCUCCCUUACAUAGAAUAUAAACAGCACAAGAGCUGAGACUUCAUUUCUUUCAAUGGGGUAUUACCAAUGCUUUGAAUAAUGCCUGGUACAUAGUGAACACUCAGAGGAAAUGGAAGCCUAGAGAAGUUAACGAACUGGCCAAAGAUCACCCAGCUAAGAAAUGACAGAGGGGAAUGGAAUGUAGCCUUCGGCCAUCUGAUUCAAAGACAACACUUCCUAACCAUUGGGUACCAAAGAGUUUUUAAAUGACUGCUGUGUGGCAACGUGAAGAAUGAUUUAGAGAGAACCAAAAAUGGACAGUCAUUGGAAGGAUUCCUUAUGAGUGACACAUGGAACAUGAAAGGAGAGACAGGAUUUUUAUUACUUAAAAUUGGACCCUGGUAAUGAACUGAAAAACUUUCAAAUGCAAUUUGGCUUGUGUCAAAAGUCCUCUGAUUUUACUAAUGUCCGUAGAGCAGGGCUUUAGAUUUCAUAGCCAACAGCCCCAAGAGCCUUCAAAAGCAUGGCAGGCACGACUUCCUUGUGGGUUUGGGUUGCUUUGUAAGGCUGAGGGGCAUGUAUUGUGCUGCAGAGGCUUCCAUAACAUAGGACCUCCCUUUGUAAAACACUUCUCCUUGAGAGUUAAUUCUGAUUUAUAUUUCAAAGUGGGGCUAGGGUGUUUUGUUGAAGACUCCUUUCAAUAUAAACAGCAAAUGUAACUUCUGAGACUUCUUGGAAUAGUUUAGCUAUGGUUACUGUUGUUUUGACUAGGCAUACAAAUAUCCUACCAAAGUGAAAACAGGUUUUAAAAAAUCCAGCAGAUCACUUAAAAGACUAUAACAGAGGAUGUGUCUCUGCUCCAGGUGGGGAUAGACUCUCCCAGAGAGCAAUCAGAUGCUUAUGCCCAGGGGUGGCUCAUGUGGGGUCUUUAGAGAACUAGCUUAGAUUAUCUAUGUAGCUUGGGUCCCUUGGGCUGCUUUUGGAACAGCCCUGCAGAGGAGGGUGGGGACUAUUGGGUCAUAAUGUCUGUUCUCCUCUGGUAGAAUAUAUGAAAGGAAAGGGCAAAGGGUCAAGUCAUUUCUAAAGUCCUGGAUCCUCUUUUGUUUUUUCCUUUGGCCCUUUUAUGUGUUAAACCUCUUCAGGUCAAACAAUCUUUAAUUUCAUACAAAGUAAGCAGAAAUCUGUGAUUAACAUGAAAAUGAAGUAUCCAUUGACUAACAUCAGAGCAGCAAUUUCAUGAUUUUUAAUUGGCCAUCAUCUCUUAUCAUUGCUACAAGAGGAGGAAAAAAAGCCUUCUUUUCCAGGCACUUGAAUAAGUAAAUAUGACAAGGAGUUAAAUAAUGAAGACAAAAACAACUCAUCCCACAUAUCCUUGGAGAUACAGAAACAGGAAACUAAUUCUCCUUCUAAUUCUCCCUAGCUGAGAAGAACAAUUGAAAUGUAUUCUAUUAAUGGAAAUCACAAGGGGAAAUACAUAGAAAGUUGAAUGGGAGCUAUGUAUUUAAUUUUAAAUAUGUCUGGAAUUUUUUCUUAUAGCUCAAACUCCAUGUAGUCUUUUUUUUUCCCACUAACCUUAACAUUUGACCAAGUUCCUUUAUUCAUUUUGCUACUUAGAUAGAAUUCAUUAAGUUCAGAUUCUUCAUUGAACUAUGGUUCAUGUACUUGAGUUAUCACAUAAAGGACUUUUCAUUGUUUUGAUAUUUUGCACAUUGUAUUUGUGCUUAUCCAAAUUGAUUGAUUAAAUAAAGAGGGUUUAGGAACAAUUACCAAGGAUUUCAGUGAUGCUGAGUUGCAUCAUUAGAAAUUGAGGAUCUUAGGAACUGAUUCUGCCAGUUUUAAAAAGCUAGGUGAAGCAACUCACAGACCACUGCAAAGGCCAACGAUUCCCUGAUUUGAGGUUUAAAGCUAAAUUAUUAAAACAAAUAUGGAAAGAGAGAGACUUCCAGUAUGAACACGGCUGGGUAAGUCAGCAUCUUUUUCCUUUUCCUCCUAGAGGUUAUAUGAAAGCUAACAAGGAGGAAGGAGCAAAACCAUAAACUCUGUUUUCAGUAAAACUAGUAUAUAGUUAUUAUCCACUUACUUCAAAAUAUACAUAAGAAUGCCAAAACAAGCUUAGACUGGGCAUAGCCAAAUAGAAAUGCAGAGAAAACCACAAAGAUGACUAAAUGUCUCAGAGCCAAGAAAAAUAUACUUCCUGAAGAUUAGAAGUCUUACCCUGAUGUGCAGACCUAUAUAGAUCAUUUGGAUCAAUGGGAGUAAAAACUGGGGUUAACAGGGAAGCUUGAGGAAGUCUCUCUGGAUGCAGUUUGGCGCAGAGAAGGAAAUAAUAGAAGACCACACAAUAAUGUAGAAGAACUAUGUAGAAAAGCCAUUUUAGCAUUAAGCACUGUGUCUGCAUGAUAGAGAAGAAGGAAAUAUUUAGGUUGUGAAGCCUGGAAGGCUGCACUACCCCUACAGACACACAUGUACAUUCACAUGCUCAUGCUCAUACACAAACCUUCAGCAAAAUCCAGUCCAAGAAAAAUGUGUUUAUAUGAGUUAUAAGAAAAAGUCACUACAAAAACAUUGAAUCAAAGAUAGUAUAUAAUUAAAAGUAUGAGGAAAAUCAGAAAACUUAAGACUAAGAAUAUUCACUGAAAAUUUUAACUGUGCAGCAACUAAAAAUUACAACCAAAUAUUUUACUAUGAAUUGAAAAGAAGAAUUUAAGAAGGUAUUCACUUUAAUGAAAAAAGAUUACAAUGUAGAAAUAUAGAAAUUGAAAGAGCAAUAUAACAAGAGAUGAAAUUAAAGUAGCAGAAUUCAGGAAAGAAAUAUAAAAAAAUGAAAAUAUCACAGAAAUAAAAAUGAAAUCAGAAUACAAGGGAGCCUGGGUGUGGUGGUUCACACCAGUAAUCCCAGCACUUUGGGAGGCUGAGGCGGGUGGAUCACUUGUGCCCAGGAGGUGGAUGCUGCAGUGAGCUGUGAUCAUACCACUGCACUCCAACCUGGGUGACACAGGGAGACCCUGUAUCAAACACAAACAAACAAACACAAAACCACAAUGGAGAAGUGAUACUAAAAAAGCUACAAUAAGUAAUACAGAGAAUAUAUAAAAAGUAAACAAUAUAAAAUAGAAAUAAACAGAUAAAAAGAUUAUACACACACACAAGGAUAACUAGAGAAGACAGACAAGGUGAUCCAAUUUGUACACAAUUGGAGUCUCUAAGAAGGAUUUAAACAAAUAAUUUAAGGUACAUUCAAAAACAUGAUUCAAGUAAAAGAAAAUUUGAAAAAAUAAGUAUACCCUUAUAUAUACACACACAUAUAUAUGAAGGGCAUACUAUGUGCUAAAAAAAGAUGUCUGUUAAUGUUGAACACUGAGACAUGAAAUAAGACAAAUGGACCCCACAUAGUAAAAGGUUCUUAAAUUCUAAUAAAAUCUACUAUAAUUGAUAAAACUAAGACAAAAUAAAAUUACAAUAGCAACAAAUAUAAAGGACCCAACAAAUAUAAAGGAACCUACAAGGUAUGGUUCAGAAAGUUUGAAAAUAUAAAAAGAUAAAUAAAGGAGAAUUGGGCACAUUUAAGCACACCAUCAAUCAAAAAGGAGACGUUAUAAUCUUAAUAGCAAGCAAGGUGGAAUAUGAUAUGGUUGCAUGAGUGCUAAAUAAUAAAUAAGCCUGGUUGUUCAUUAUAGUAUUAUUUACAGUAGCAGAAGAUUGGAAACAGACCUAUGUCCAUUAACAGGGGAUCAGUUAAAUAAAUAAUAAUUACUAGAUAUGGUUUGGCUCUUUGUCCCAUCCAAAUCUCAUGUUGAAUUAUAAUCCCCAGUGGAGGUGGGGCUUGGUGGGAGGUGACUGGAUCAUGGGGGCAGUUUCUAAUGGUAUAGCACCAUCCCCCUAGUGCUGUCUCAUGAUAGAGUUCUUGCAAGACCUGGUUGUUUAUAAGUGUGUAGCAUUAGCUGGGCAUGGUGGUAUAUACCUGUGGUACCAGCUACUCAGGAGGCUGAGGCAUGGGGAAAUAUAUAUAUGAAUAAAGAAAUCUGGCAGGUGAGGGCUACAGUGAGCCAAGAUUUUGCCACUACACUCUAGCCUGGAUGACAGAGUGAGACCUGUCUCAAAAAAAAAAAAAAAAAAAAAAAAAAAAGUAGCACCUCCCCCUUCUUUCUCUUCCUCCUGCUCCCACCAUGUAAGACGUGUUUGCUUCCCUUCCACCAUAAUUGCAAGUUACCUGAGGCCUCCCCUGCUAUGCUUCCUUUACAGUCUGCAGAACCAGAAGCCAAUUAAAAUUUCUUUCUUUCUUUAUAAACUACCUAGUUGCAUGUAGUUCUUUAUAGCAGUGGAAGAAUGGACUAAUACGCCUAGUUUGGAAUACUAUGCCAUAAAUCAAAAAUAAUUUUAAAAAAUCAUUCUAUAUGCGGGCUGGGUGUGGUGACUAAUGCUUGUAAUCCCAGCACUUUGGGAGGCCAAGCCAGGUGGAUCACCUGAGGUCAGGAGUUUAAGACCAGCCUGGCCAACAUGGCGAAACCCUGUCUCUGCUAAACAUACAAAAAUUAGCCAGGUGUGGUGGCAUGUACCUGUAAUGUCACUCAGGAGGCUGAGGCAGGAGAAUCACUUAAAUCCAGGAGGCGAAGGUUGCAGUGAGCCAAGAUCACACCACCACACUCCAGCCUGGGCAGCAGAGUAAGACUCAGUCUCAAAAAAAGAAGUAACAUUCUGUUUGCUGACACAAGAAAAAAAAAUUCCUCCCCAGCAUAAUAAGCAAUGUGAAAGGAGCAAGGGCAGAGUAGUAAAUAGUACUUUUUGUCUAAAGAGGUUGAGAGGGGAAAUGUAUAUAUGAAUAAAGGAACUAUAAACUAUAAAAAGUGCGUAAUAAAUCAGUUACAGAGGUAGGUGGGAUGCAAGGAAGACCAUUUGCUUUUUGCUUUUUAAUUUUGUAAUUAACCACGUGAAUAUGUUCUCCAUAUAAAAGUUAAUUUACAAUAUGAUAAAAAUAAAGGGGAGAUUAUUAUAGCAUUGCCAAGUUUAUAUUUUUUCCACAUAGUGACAUUUUAAAAACCCUACCAUCUAUUAUAACUUUUAAAUCACAAAAGAAAAGAAAGGGCAUCUUGAAAGAAAUAAGCAAAAGUAAGAAAGAAUGACAAUUUUUGAAGAAUUUUCUCUUAAAUUGAUACAAUACUGCCUUUUCCUCAUUUCACUGUAGACUACACUUCAUCACUACCUGGUCCUGGCCCAGAAAGGAGCACAUUGAAACCAUCAGGAGAGAUAGAGGACAUGAGGGAGCUUGUGAUCCUGGAGUAGAUACAAGACUUCCUCUGGAACCUAGUGGGAAGGACACUCUCAUAAUGAGAUUCCAUAAUUCUUAUGCCUUAAUACUGAUAUAUCAAUAUCUAUGUAAUUAUGUACACCUUUACCAAAUACUGAAAUAUUUAGAACAGUGAAAAAAGACUUAAAAAUGUUAAAACAAAGGUUUUUAAAAAUAAUAGAAUCAAGGUCCAAAAGCUAACCCCUCACAUGGAGGCUGAGGUUCUCUGUGAGUAGGAAAGUGAUGGAUGCUACUGUCCAGGGUAAGCAAUCUUGGCUGCUGUCAGCUGUAAGUUGCCCUGCUAGCCCUGGGCUGUGGAGCAGUGCAUGGGGUCCAUAUGAGGGCCAGUGAAGAACAUUUUCUUUCAUCUGGUUGCUACCUCUGGACUCUCCUAUUUUAUUUCCCUGUCCCCACAGGUAGUUUUCCGAUUGAGAGACCAAAAGGUAAGAAUUCAGUUUCCCUAUCCCCUGCAGUUAGAUAGAAAUGAUUAGAGAAAAUACAUGUAAUUAGAGCACAGAAUAUUUUUCUUAGUUUUUAUAAGGCACACUUACACACACUACUGUGCAAUACCAAUGCCUAACAUGCCAUAAUAUAAUAAGUAAACUGAGGCUGAAGAGCUGGAUUGGUAUUCAAUGCCAACAAUAAUAACAACAGCUAACAUCUGCAAAGCCCUGGCUAUACCAGGUGUAGGUUAAGCUCUUCGUAUGUGUAACAUUACUGAAUCUGUACAUCUCUGUGAGAUAGGUACUACUACUAUACCAUUUUCCUAUGAGAUCGGAUCCCUGAAGCUUGAGGAAGUUGAAACCACUCCUUCUAGAUUAUGUGACUAGCAGAAAACACUUUCCCCUUGCCUCCUAUGCACAGAGACACCAUGAGAGCAGUGGAAAUAGGCCUGAAUUAAAAGUUAAGAGAACCAGCUGGGCACAGUGGCUCAUGCCUGUAAUCCCAGCACUUUGGGAGGCCAAAGCAGGCAGAUCGCCUGAGGUCAGGAGUUCAAGUCCAGCCUGGCCAACAUGGUGAAACAUUGUCUAUACUAAAAAUACAAAAAUUAGCCAGGCAUGGUGGCAGGCACCUGCAAUCCCAGCUACUCAGGAGGCUGAUGCAGGAGAAUUGCUUGAACCCAGGAGGUGGAGGUUGCAGUGAGCCAAUAUUGCACCACUGCUCUCCAGCCUCAGCGACAGAGCAAAAUUUCAUCUCAAAAAACAAAAUAAACAAAAAAGUCAAGAGAACCAAAUUUGGUUUAUGGUUCUACCUCCUAGGUAAAUCAUUUCAUUUUUCCAGGUCUGCUUAUUCCCCUUUAAAAGAAUAGAAAUAGAAUCUCUAACAUGAUCGCAGUGUCAUAGACACUCACAGUCCCCAGCUGGUGCUUCCUGAGCUGUGCAACCCACAAGCCCACCCUGGUUCCUCCACCAGAGCACAGAGGGAUGAGAGUGUUCUUGGGAAUGCUCUAAGGAUAUAUACUAUGGGGUGUCAAUCAUCCUUCUCCAAUAAGGAAGAAAUGACAACGAUGUAACUUAGCACAUGUUCCCAGAGGUUAAGAAUAUACUUACACAAAAACUUGUGUGGUGCCUACUUCUGGUCCAAAGAUUUUUAUAGAUAGUAGCUCACUGGAGUAUGUCAUGCCAGAAACACUGAGACAGUGAUGUAGUGAACCCUGAAAGAAGAUGAGCUCUGCUAGUCCUGUCAUGUUCUCCAUAGCCCUCAGGUGAUGCAGAGGUUUCCAGUGGCUCCUAGGACUCAGCAGGAAGACGGACAGGGAGCUAGGCACUAUGGGGCUGCAAAGUGGCUGCAGGGAAAUAGAAUGUGGUUGGCAGUAUCCCACUGCUGGGGCCAAGAGGAAACAUGACUGCCUCCCUGAUGGGGGGUGCCAGUGAUUGAAAAGUCAGGGUGAGGCCGGGCUCAGUGGCUCACGCCUGUAAUCCCAGCACUUUGGGAGGCCGAGGUGGGUGGAUCACGAGGUCAAGAGAUCGAGACCAUCAACAUGGUGAAACCCCGUCUCUACUAAAAAUACAAAAAAUUAGCUGGGCAUGGUGGCGCGUGCCUGUAAUCCCAGCUACUCAGGAGGCUGAGGCAGGAGAAUUGCCUGAACCCAGGAGGCGGAGGUUGAGGUGAGCCGAGAUCACGCCAUUGCACUACAGCCUGGAGCGAAACUCCGUCUCAAAAAAAAAAAAAAAAAAAAGAAAAAAAAAGAAAAGUCAGGGUGAGCGCAAACAUCACACACACACACACACAACAGAAAUCACUGCAUCAGCAUAGCCAUCAGUAUCAGUCUCCACCAGAGUGAGAUUUGAGGCAGUGCCCCGUAACAACGAGAGGAGCUGUACAGGACAAUGUCUAAGAAAACAUCUAUGUUGAGGUAUGUUCUUUCCAUUCCCAGUUUUUUUAGUUUUUUUUUUUUUUUUUAAAUCAUGAAGGAAUGUUGAAUUUCAUCAAAUGCUUUUUCAGCAUCAAUUGAAAUGAUUAUGAUUUUUGUUCUUCAUUUUGUUGAAAUGAUGCAUCACAUUGAUUGAUUUCUGUUUGUUGAACCAUUUUCGCAUCCCAGAGAUAAAUCCUACUUGGUCAUGAUGAAUGAUCUUUCUAAUGUAUUGUUGAAAACAGAUCCCCAGUAUUUUGUUGAGGAUUUUUGCAUCAAUAUUCAUCAGAGAUAUUGACCCGUAGUUUCCGUUUGUUGAUAUGUCUUUGUCCUGUUUGUAUAUCAGAGUAAUAUCGGCCUCAUAGAAUGAAUUUUGAAG